rnacentral:tRNA from 1 species
GGUUGUAGCUCAGUUAGUAGAGUGUUUGCCUAGCAUGUGUGAGGCACUGGGUUCGAUCCUCAGCACCA